AGCAGCCGCGGUAAUUCCAGCUCCAAUAGCGUAUAUUAAAGUUGUUGCAGUUAAAAAGCUCGUAGUUGAAUUUCGGGAUUGACGUGAUGGUCAUGCCUUAAGGGGUAUGAACUGUUGCAGUUGAUUUCUCACCUUCUGGAAAAACUUGAUGUCCUUUAUUGGGUGUCUUGCGGAUCCAGGACCUUUACCUUGAAAAAUUAGAGUGUUUAAAGCAGGCAUUUUUGCUCGAAUACAUUAGCAUGGAAUAAUAGAAUAGGACGGCAUGGUUCUAUUUUGUUGGUUUCUAGGAUCACCGUAAUGAUUAAUAGGGAUAGUUGGGGGCAUUAGUAUUCAAUUGUCAGAGGUGAAAUUCUUGGAUUUAUUGAAGACUAACUACUGCGAAAGCAUUUGCCAAGGAUGUUUUCAUUAAUCAAGAACGAAAGUUAGGGGAUCGAAGACGAUCAGAUACCG
rnacentral:rRNA from 1 species